CAAACAUAAGUGUGUAUUCACUGCGGACCGACUAACCGGAAAUUGCGCCAGAUUUGUAACGGGUUACCGGCAUUUUCAAAACUGACAGAGAAAAGACAGCAGGCAUAACAGAUAUAGACAGUGUGUUUGGAUUAUUUCAUGGACAGACAAAGCCUAGUGAAAGGUGAUGAGGAUGCUGUGACGAAAGUCAAACAGUUCUUAACAGAAUUAGUGAUGGCAUAGCGAUAACCACCUGAGAACGGCUUGAUUAGUUAUAUAUUAUGAAUAAAUGUUAAUAUUUUCAUGU
rnacentral:lncRNA from 1 species